AGCCAAAACACCUACCCCUUGCAGAAUUAGGCUUGAUCAUAGAAUUCCUUUAGAGGAAGACCUUAGGUACUGCAUUAUUCAAAAGACAUAGUGGAUAAUCUAGUUGAUGAAAUGCUUAACCAGGGAAUUAUUCAACACAAUAAUAGUCCCUAUGCAUCUUCAGUGGUGUUUAGAAAAAAUGGUUCUUGGAGAGUUUGUGUAGAAUAUCAACAGUUGAAUCAACAAACCACAAAACAUCAAUUUCUCGUUCCAAUUUGGACUUAAGUCUUCCAUUUCCAGGUCCUUAGAGACCAACAAUUAUAUCUCAAAAAAGCAAAUAUUUUGUUGGAAAGAUUUGGCUCAAGUGUCCAUCAGUUGGAACGUCCCUCCAGUUCAGAGAUACAUAUUGGGUUCCAUGUGGCACAGCUGAAGCUUUGCAAGGAUACUAGUUCUGCUAAUACCCACCCUUUGCCACCCAAUUCAUAACUAGUUUUCAAUUGGGGAGCCUAAGGCAAUUUUGUACAAUGGUAAAGAGGGGAUGCGUUUUGCUACUAAAGUUUACAUCGAAUGGAAGAAUUUACCUCCAGAGCAUGCCACCUGAGGGUUUCACUAUGAUUUUCUCAAGAAGUUCUCAACUUCUCAGCUUGGGGACAAAGAUGCACGGAGGCUAUUCUUACAGAAUUUAUAUGGGAUCACCUAUAAAUGCUGUAGCUUGCACGUUAUUUUUUUAUUUCAUUCUGCUUUAUAGGUUACCUCUUUCAUUUGGGUUUAUUUCCUUUUACUGUGGUUUGCUGAUGUGGCAAUGCACAAUCACUAAAAUAGGGUAGUGUAGAAGUUGGUUACAGCUUUUUCUUUUUCCGCCUAUGCGUGUAUUGUAUCUAUCUCAUGCUUAUGUGUUGUGGCAUUUUGGAAGAGACAGAUCACCACCAAAAUAUUUUAUCUUUGUCACAAAUUCACAAUCUCUUGAUUUCUGUUCCUUGAACACGGGGAACUAUUCCAAACUUUUAAUUCCCCGGUCCAUUGGGUUCUCUGUAUUCUCGAAGUUUAUUCUCCCUAAACAAGUUCCAUUUCAGGCAACUCAAAAUUACAGGCAUGUUGUGAUUACAUUUCUCUUCUUUUUACAUAACCUAGCUUUGCAAUUUAUGGUCUUUAUCUUCUUGAAAAGCAACUUUUUCCAAUAUCUGUGGAUAUUCAACAUCUCAACUUAAUUCUGAAACAGGAUUCCAUUCCAUAAACAACUUAUAUAUAUAUAUAUAUAUAUAUAUAUAUAUAUAAGAUUAAUUUUUUCAUUAGGCAAAACAAAAUACUAAAAAGUUAUUGAAGUCACAAAAGUUACCUUCAGUAGAAGGUCACAAGCAGACUCAGCUAUUGCUUUCUCAAUGCGUUUUGUAUUUGACAUCAAGAGAUCAUUCCCAACUAUCUGGAGAACCAUUCAAAUAAAGAAAAAAACUAUAUAAACAGAAGUUCCAUCAGAAGCCAAUUUCUGUAAAAUAAACAUCUCAGUCGCAAUAUGCAAUUAACCUAUCUAAUGCUCAAUCCCGAUAUAGAGGAAAAAGACAACAAUUUUAUAUGAAAUGUUUAUUCCUCCCUUGCCCACACAGCCUGCUAACGAGUCAAUAUGGCAUUUAUACACUAGCAAUCAGUUUGUUCUUAUUUUUUUAUUAAAAAUGUACACUGUUAUCAUUUAAAACAUUGUGCAAACUCCAAAAUGGUAAAACUUACUGCACAGCACAAUCUUUGCUGCACAAAUUAACUAGUACAGAGAUUGAAUUGACAUUAACUCAAACAAAAUAUUAAUUGAUUAAAAAAAUUUUAAAAAUACCUGAAAGUUUUUUAGGAGAUUGAAAAUCUAGAUCAUAUAUUUUACCUAUAUCAGGGAAAAAGCAUAUAUAAAUAACAGCAUAACCUGGUCAAAUUUAUUCAAAAGGCAAAAGGAGCCUAACACCAUGAGGUGAGGAAGGUUGCAUGACAGAAAAAGGUGUUAAGUAUUAAAUUAACAUAGUGAAAUAUUGUAACAUUUUGCAGUAGCUUUGCUGAUAAAUUAACUAUCAAGCAUAGUAUUAAUAUCCCCUCUCUAUAUAAAAUAGAAUAGUUAUCUUGAAUAAGGAUAUUUUUUAACUGUAUUUAUUUAUAUUUUUCAACUUUAUUUCUAAACUAAAUUUCAAUGUUUUUAAAAAUAAAUUAUCAAUAGUUAAAACAACCCAGUAUCACAAUAUAAAUUGUUUAUAAAAAAAAUCUAAGAUAUGAUUUUUAUGUUUAAAAGUAAAUAUUUGUUAUGAAAUUUAAUUACUAUAAUAUAACUUUUAUGAAAAAUAUUUAUUAUAAAUUUAGUUGUAUAAAAUAAUCAUUCAUCCCAUGCAUUGAAGAGGUUAAAAUACUAGUUAACAUUAAAAUGAUAAAGCAUGACAAAAAAUCAAUAACAGGCUGUUGAGAUUAAAAUUCAUAACAAUCGCCCAUGGUCAUCCUAUAUCACUUUUAAAGUCUGUCUAUCUCUCACCCUUCCAAACCCUUAUUUAUCUCUCUAAAAUUUUAAAGUAUGUAAACUCAAAAUAAAUUAAAAGUGGUUACCUGUAACUCCCCCUCCUCUCCAAAUAAAUAACAAUAAUCACAUACCAUCAUAUAAUACUUGUAUAACAAGACUCAGAAACCAAGUUAAAAAUGUCACAACUGGAAUUUAAAUAAAGAUGACAUUACCACAGCUGAUGCCUGAUGUUCUUUGGUAUUUAUAGCCAUUAUUGAAGCAUUAUUAACAGAUAAGAUUGUUAUUUUUACAUCUCUUAGAAAGUAAACGAUGCAGUAAAUAAUUAGCAUAGCGCUGCUGCAACAGUCAAAUUAUAAUAGCAAUAAGCAAUAUUAAAAUAAGCAAGUAUCACCAAAUUUUAUCUUCUCAAGAAUCUAAAAAUAAAAACGGAUAGAAACUUAUACUUACCAAUGCAAAAAUUUGUAGUAGCAACAUCAAGAGCUAUCUUUAUUUUCUCAUUAUAACCAGUUCUGCUAAUAGCCUCCUUGACAAGAUCCAGGGCUUCUCUAAAGCUGGUGAUACUUAAAUACAGUCAGAUAAAAAAAUAGAAACAAAAUAGAAAAACCUACAAAAGUAAUUUUAUUAGAGUUGAGAAAUACCUCUAUAACAAGUUUAGCCAGGUGAAAUUUUCAUAAAUAUUAAUUGAUUUUAUAUUUAAAAAAAAUAUACAAGUUUUAUAUUGAAUAUAUAGUUGAUUAAAGAUCUAUAUAGUUGGCUGAAAAUAACAUUAAUUUUUAUAUUAGAUUAGAUUAAAAGCAUGUAGAUUAGAUUAAUAAAACCCACCCAUUUAUAUUAAUUUUUAGAGUAUAGUCGGGUGAAAGUAACUUAAUCUAUUAAUGUACUCUCUCAUCUCCCUUCAACAAUGACUUAUCACUCAACUUAUUUUAAAUUUACAGUCGAAAAUUUAUAACUUCAAACCACUUCUUUUUCUAUUUAACUCUGCACACUUUAGAUUCUAAGUUAUAUGUUCAUAUUUCACCUGAAUUUAAAAAUAUUCAUACAACAUUAAUCUUAAUAUACAGAUGGCAAUCAUAAUACAUAGCAUCAUUUACCAUGUAGAAGAAAACAUAGUAAUUAUCCCAUGCAGCAGUUUGGCAAAAAACAUAGUGAUGCCUUAGCACUCUCACUUUUAUUAAAAAACAUGCCGCAGUUAAAAAAUGUUGACUAAAAGAAAAUACUAGUUUAAGAGGAAAAUACAAAUGAAAUUAUUUUCAUCACAAAUUUAUCACAGAUUUCUAAGGAAUAGAGAUUUCACAUUAAUGUAUCCAACAAAUAACAAAGUACAUUUAGAGAAAUUAAAAUUACAGCAGAAGAACCAGAAGUCAAAUUACCAACCAGAUUCAUGCAUGCAACUGUCAUUAUAUUAUAUAAAAUACUAUAUAGCGCAGUUUUUGGAGAUAAUUUAUGUUUACUUUCUUUGUUCUAAAAUGGAGACUUUUCCCCUAUUUUAUGCUAUUCAUUUAACAGUUAAGAACUUCAUAGAAAUUUAUGGACAACUCUAACACCUUCGAAAGUGAUACAAAUUAGUUGCAUAUUUAAAAUGUAAAAAACUAGCUGUUACAUGAGGCAGUCCAGUCCAGUCUUAAAUAGCCUACAUAAUAAGGCAUACUCUUCUGAAAACAAAGUUCCCUCUUCAAAACUCAGGGUUCUAUCAAAAGACUCACAAGUAUAUGUACCUGGCUUACUUUUUUUUUUUUCCAUUGAAUGAAUCAUGGGGAGCAGUGAAUACACAACCAAAAAAACGACUCAGGACUAGAAGAAACUUAUAUAGUAAUUAAUAUUGGUCACUGUCUUUCCUUACUCUGGAGAAACUAAACUGUUCUGAUUCUGGUCAGGAAACAACCAAUCUCCUGGUUUAUCAUCAGGGAAAUGCACUUCAACAUGAGGACCGUGAACAUCAACCAAAGCUUGCUUGCAUGCUUAGUUUUACCAUGAGAGCCAGCUUUAGAAACAAUGUUCGGUACCACAUGGAGCACAUGAACGUAUGAUUUGGCUAAAUCACAUCAUUCCAGAGCCAGAGAGGAAAGGCAGCCCAUAGAUUUAAUUACUAUGUACUAAUUGAUCACACAUGGUUGAAGAUAUGAAACAAAUUGACAUUCACCAUCCAUUUGGAUUUUAACCUGUGUAAAAGCAACUACAUCUAUAGAUUUUAGAGCAAUAACUCCUGCAGAUAUCUACCCUUAGCCUCUACAAAAGCUGACCCCAAGGCUUUCAAUGCUUUAGAGUUUAGGAAUGAAAAAAAAAACUUAGGAGAAGUUGGAUUGUGAUAAAAAAAGAAUACAUUCAUUCUUAUACAGCGUCAUCUAACCACCAAGAAUUGUGGGUAUAUAGGAUUGAAGAAAACCAUAUUGAUUCAGGAACCAUAUUGUGGGUAAAACUGUACUUAAGUGUGAUUGAAGAAAUUAAAUAUGGAACUGAUUAAGGAAUAUUUCUUUUAUCUCAGCACAGACUGCAACUGGUGUGGGUCAUAACCCACAUUACUAUGGUUACGUAAUAGAUCCUUCUUCAUCAAGAUUGACUGAUGGCACUACCAACACCAGAACCUGAUUCAUAAACCCACCAAUGCCUGGACCAUCAUAGGUUACAUAGCCCUCAACACCACACCCAUAUGCGCCUAACCCAUCGCCACUAUAACCAGUAACAAGGCCACACUGUAUAGUAGCACAAACAUUGUUACCCCUAAAAUAUCGGCACCACUGAAUUUACCCAAAGAUCUAAAGUCACUUUUCUUGACUGUAUCAAAGCCAAAUGUGGGACGCACACCCCAUUCUUAAACCGUUAAUUUCAAUAGACAAAAAGAAAACUCCAUAGAGAGAAUCUUAAUAAGAAAAAGAAAUUACGCGAGUGAGAGGAGAAAGACAAAAACAAAGAGAGGCACCUGAAAACAAGACUUCGAUGGGACAUCAAGACGAUCAAAUAACAACGAAGUUAGGAAUAUGAAAUCAAUGAACGUUUCCAAAAUCAUCAGGGAUUUGGAAUCGAUUGAAAUUUUAGGGAUUUGCCAAAAAUUCCCCCACCGGACCGUUUGCACUUUAUUUCCGAUCACCGGCGACGAGCUUUUUGCUUUUCUUUAGGCACAUUGGAACUGUGUUUUAGGUUUCUGAAAUUCCGCUUCUAAGUCCCAAUUCUUCGAGGAGUUUUCCUUUUAUUUAAAUAAGGGGCGAGAGGGAAAACGGAAAAAAUUAUAAAGUUAAUUUAAUUAAAAAUAAAAUAAAAUUGAGAGAUAGAAGAAAGUAAAAGAUUGUGAAAGAAGAAAUACAACUGGUGAUAACAAA
rnacentral:lncRNA from 1 species